rnacentral:rRNA from 1 species
UACGGGGGGAGCAAGCGUUGUUCGGAUUUACUGGGCGUAAAGGGCGCGUAGGCGGCGCGAGUAGUCAACGGUGAAAGCCCGGGGCUCAACCCCGGGUCGGCCGUCGAUACUCUCGUGCUUGAGCACUGUAGAGGCAGGUGGAAUUCCGGGUGUAGCGGUGGAAUGCGUAGAGAUCCGGAAGAACACCGGUGGCGAAGGCGGCCUGCUGGGCAGUAGCUGACGCUGAGGCGCGACAGCGUGGGGAGCAAACAGG